rnacentral:ncRNA from 1 species
UAUAGAUAGAGGCGCAUUUUUUAUCAGUAGGUUUUUGAAGGGGAAUGGGACUCGAUGAAAAAAACUAAAAGGAAAAAAUGCCGAAGGAGAUCUUUUCCCUUUUAAAAGCUCUUCUGGACUUAUUGUAAAUAACAAUAAGACUGUCAUCAAGAUAUUGAUGGUGCGCUAUCUG